rnacentral:rRNA from 1 species
AGGGUGAUCGGCCACAUUGGAACUGAGACACGGUCCAAACUCCUACGGGAGGCAGCAGUGGGGAAUAUUGCACAAUGGGCGAAAGCCUGAUGCAGCAACGCCGCGUGAGUGAUGAAGGCCUUCGGGUCGUAAAACUCUGUCCUCAAGGAAGAUAAUGACGGUACUUGAGGAGGAAGCCCCGGCUAACUACGUGCCAGCAGCCGCGGUAAUACGUAGGGGGCUAGCGUUAUCCGGAUUUACUGGGCGUAAAGGGUGCGUAGGCGGUCUUUCAAGUCAGGAGUGAAAGGCUACGGCUCAACCGUAGUAAGCUCUUGAAACUGGGAGACUUGAGUGCAGGAGAGGAGAGUGGAAUUCCUAGUGUAGCGGUGAAAUGCGUAGAUAUUAGGAGGAACACCAGUUGCGAAGGCGGCUCUCUGGACUGUAACUGACGCUGAGGCACGAAAGCGUGGGGAGCAAAC